GCAUCAUGGGACAAAGGAGGCGGUUGGCAGGUGCCGGCUCUCCUUCUCAACUCUGCGCGUGCGUGCCUGAGUGACAGGUAGACUAAGGCUGGGGCGAUGCCGGGAGAGAACCCGCAACUGUCAGUUGCUUUCCUGUUUGGACUCACUUGAAGAGCAAGCAUGUAAUACUUUUGAAAUCUGGGACACUGACAACAUAGCAACAGCAUGGAUUCCAAAUGUUGCAGUCAGUCUGCUCGAUGGUCCAAGUCAGCUGUUUAUACACUGCUCCUAGGAGGUACCUUUGUAACACUGGGUUCAAGUCGUAUUCUUUUGAUGAAAUACUCUGCCAAUGAAGAUAAUAAGUAUGAUUAUCUUCCUGCAACUGUGAAUGUGUGCUCAGAAUUAGUUAAGCUUGUACUUUGUUUGAUAAUGGCUCUCUGGGUAAUCAGAAGAGGAGGACAUUCCCAUAGUGGAUUUGGCUGCAGCUCUUGGAGGCAAUUGUAUAGCUACAUAAAGUGGUCAAUUCCAGCUUUUCUUUAUUUUUUAGAUAAUUUGAUUGUCUUCUAUGUAUUAUCCUAUCUUGAACCAGCCAUGGCUGUUCUGUUCUCAAAUUUUGUUAUUAUAACAACAGCUCUUCUGUUCAGAAUAGUGCUGAAGCGGCAGGUCUCCUGGGUGCAAUGGGCUUCUUUGCUGAUUCUGUUCCUAUCUAUUGUAGCUCUGACUGCAGGGACAGGAAGCAAUAAGCAUAGCUUGGCUGUGCAUGGAUUUCAUCAUGACAUUUUUCUCAGCCAUUCAAACAGUUGCCUGCAGUAUACCAAGUCAGAAGAAGAAUGUUGGGGAAAAGAGAACUGCACUCUUAGAUGGUCCUUUCCUGGCUUUAGCUGGAAUGUCACAACUACUGCAGGUCCCAUGAAAACAGUUCGUCUUGGACUGGGACAUCUGCUCAUAUUAGUACAAUGUUUUAUUUCAGCCUUAGCCAACAUCUACAAUGAAAAAAUACUGAAAGAAGGAGGCCAAUUCAGUGAAAACAUCUUCGUGCAGAAUACCAAACUGUACCUCUUUGGAGCUAUGUUCAAUGCACUGAUGCUAAGCCUGCGCCCUGAAAACAGGCGCCAGAUAGAGUAUUGUGGUUUUUUCUAUGGUCACAACGUAUUCUCAGUGGCCCUUAUUUUUGUCACUGCCUUCCUUGGGCUCUCCGUGGCCUUCAUUCUGAAGUUCCGAGACAACAUGUUUCAUGUUUUGACUGCACAAGUUACAACUGUGAUCAUCACCACAGUGUCAGUUUUUGUAUUUGACUUUAAGCCUUCCAUGGAGUUCUUCUUGGAAGCACCUGUAGUUCUUUUGUCUAUAUUUAUCUAUCACUCCAGCAGCCCUCGUUGCACAGAAUACACUGUGCAGUGGGAGAGGGGCAAACAUAAUGGAGGUGCAUGGCAGCGCUCUAGUGGGGAUGGAGAAGAACUUGAGAGACUCACCAAACCAGGCAGUGAUCAUGAUUCAGAUGAGGAGGCCUUAUAGCAAAUGGUGGUCACAACUAAAAUUUGGGGGAGAUUGCCUGGACAUUCAUGCCAAGUAGAUAAUGGGAGGAGGGCUUUGCAAAUUCACAAAAUAUCUCCUAUGAGUAACAUAAUCAGGCAUAUUUCUGUUCCAACUCUAGUUGGAAGGCUCUUUCCCAGCAUAGCAUGUGAGGAGAGGAAACUUUUUCACAGUGGAAGUGGUGGAAAUCUCUUAAAUGUUUUCACUAAGGUGGGAUAUUUUUUUUUAAAGUCAAGUUCUGCUAGAUGAUAUUUUAACUACUAACCAAACAGGAUAUUAAGGUGGGAUUAGAAAAAUCAGUGAAGGUUGUAAUUUCUCCUAGUCCUCAUAACUAUGCACUACUAAUGGUGUUCAAAACCAUACGCCUUUGAGUAUUAAAUGCGAUUAGAAUUUUGAGGAGAUCUAGAUAUUUUUGCCAAAUGGCAGGAGAGUUUGCCUAUUUACAAAUUACUAUUCACAUAAUGGGUCAUAAAGCACAUUUACUGGAAUGCUAUCAAUAUAUUAAUUGAUGGGAAUUAUUGAGGGGCAAUCACUGUCCUUUUCUUCUAGUAGACUUCCCAUAGGCAACUAGUUGGUCAUUGUUGAAAAUACGAUACUGGAGUAAAUUGAGUUUUUAUGUGAUCCAGCAGAACUGCUCAUGUUUCUGUGUAUUUGAUCUUCUAAAAUGAAGAUUUAUUUUUGCAGCAAGAGUCAUUGGAAUGCAGAAGAUUUGGAUGCAGAAGGAAAGCAUCAUUUUGAACCAUGUAUUUUGAGACAGUUGGUUAAAAUAAAGAGACUGGAGUGCUAAUGCUGACCAAGAUAUCUCAGUUUAAAGAUGAUGUGAAAGAAGAAUUUAUUGAUGGAAUUAUGAAAGCUAUCACUUUAUGGAAAUUCAGAAGCACAGUCCUCAAAAUAUUAUUGCAUACCACAAAUACAGAGAUUACAUGGUAACAUUUUCUUAUGUGUAAGAUGUGCUUUAUUCUUUAAGUUUUGGAAAAUAUUGUUGCCAUCAUGUGUUGUAUGCCUCGAGUAUCAUAUAAAUCAUUUAUUUUUAUAUGACUACCCCUGUGAUACUCAGUGUUAAAAUCUGCAUGUGUUUGAGCCAUUUUGCAUAUUUCCAUACAAUUUGGGUACUAUUUUUAGUUCAUGAAAAUAGAUGAAUUAUGUAUUUAAGCAUAAAAUUUAAGGUUACUUCUUUCAAAAUAUACCAACAGGAUCAUCCUUUCAGGAUAAAGCAAAACAGGAUCCAGAAAGUUAUGGUAUUCCAAAUAUUUGUUCAUUCUUAGCUGGUGUAGCUAAAGCAGGGGUGUCAAACUGCUGACCCGUGGACCAGUUGCAUCAUAUGGAGGCCAUGCCCACCCCACCUCCAGCAAUACUUUGUGAGGCGUCGUAUGAUGUGGCAAGUUUGACACACGUGAGCUAAAGGGAUGAAGGGAAUUGCACUCUUAACAUCUGGGGUUGAGUGAUAAAGGUUUCUACGCCUAGUGUAAACCAUGUAAUACUGGAUAACGCUGCACUUAACCUUUUACAUGCCAUAUGAUCAUGUUCACAAGCUAUGCGUUUCAAGUGAAUUGUUACUUUCCUGGUGAAUAAUUAAUGUGCAACUAUGUCAGCACAACUUAAAAACAAGAAUGAGCAGUCCAAAAAUCUACCCAGAAAUGGAGUUUGAGAAGACCGGAGAGAUCACCACAUCCAUGGGGAAAUGUGCUAAAUUCCAAGAUCUGUUUAAACCACUUUCCGUAUUCAUGCCUUUAUAAAUAUUAAAUUAAUCAUGUCAUGGUAUGUGGUUUUGUUCAUUUUUAUAUAGCAGUAAAAUUUGUUCUCAUGAAAGGGAUUUCAAGAGAUUAUUCUAAUAAAAUGUUCUCAUUAUUCAAUUACACUCAUUCCUAAACAGUUUCCUAAACAGAAAAUAAUUCAAGUAUAUUAUUCUCCUGUCUUUAACUCUCAAAGAAAAACACAGACAUGCUACAAAAUGACUGUAUUUCCAUGCCAUAAUACCAGUAGCUGUAAGCUGUGUUGUUUUUUUAACCUAAACAAAUUAAAGGUUCUCAUAUACAAAUCUUUUGUUUUUGUGUAUGAAAAUUUAUUUACAUGCCACAAUUGGCCAUGAUCACACACUGCACUCAGUCAUGAUUCAUACAAAAUGUUAAUCCACUUCUAACCAAGUUACGUGGUUUAUGUAAUGUAUGGACUCAGCUUUUCCCUUCAUUGUUUAUUGAAUUAGCCAGAAAAAAAGCUGGCUUCACUCUGUUGCCUUUUAAAAUAAUACCUUGGCAGUUACUGAUGCCAUUGCCUAUCUUCUAUAGGAUACCUUAACUAGUAUAUUCUCACAACCCCAAGAUGAGACAAUAAGAACUCUUACAAUCUUGUAUGUAUACAACAAUCUGUCAUAUUGGCAAUGGAAAAAGUACAAAGGAAAAUGUCUAUAAUGAAUCCUCUUAACCAUAGCUUAGAGGUUUCAACACUUCCUUGGGAUAUGGACCAAUUUCACAAAAGUUAAGCAAACCUUAUAAAAAGAUGGAGGUAUAAAAUAGAUCCAAUAUAAAAUCCCCUUUUUACUGAAAUGAACACAAAUACAGUCAACAUUCAAGGCAAACUUUAGGAUCAUGCUAACUUGCUACAAUUAGUUUAAUUUCCUUUGAGAAACAAGAGAUGUUUUAAUUUCAUAAUAUAGAUUAAAAAGAGCUGUCUAUAAAGUUAAUGACCUCACACCUAGUCUGAAGUAUGGCUCAAUAGCAUUCAAUAACCAAGGACACUUAGUGUUACACAUUAAAAAAGAAAUAAAAGAAUCCAAGCUUACCUUCCAGCCAGACAGCUAUCAAGUUUAAUAAAAAAUAAAAGACCCUUGCAACAGUUGUUCUUUUUAUUACUUUUUUUUUCCUGGAAAAGUCACUUUAAUCAAAAGCUGAGGAAGGCCACUUCUAGAGUAUUCAUUUUUCCUGCCCAAAUUCUUUGGUUCUCCUAGGAGUUCUGCCUUUGUUUUUAAAGCUAUCUGUAGCCCAGAGAGAGAUUGGGAUAUUUCUCUGUGUCCUAUUUGAUGGAAGGUACAUCACUCUCCUGUAAAGUUCUAUAUUUAGCCAAUGGACCAUGAAUGUCUGAACUUGUCUGGGUUGCCAGCUGAUCUUUACAACACAAGCCCAGCAUCCAGAUAUGUCCAGUUCUUUAUUCUCUUUUAUUGGACUAAAAGAUAACAAAAUUAGUGAAGCACAAAAGCACAUGAGGACAUAACUGGGAGGGACAGCCACAGGAGGGGAAACAGAAAAAAAUCUUUUCCUUUCCUCUGAUGGAAUAUCAGUGUACGCUCUUCAAAUUCACAAAAUGGCUUCUUUGGAUCCAUCCUGAUAUUUUUAAAUUGAUCAACCCAUCAGAAGCAACUAACAAUUUUGCAACAUUACAAAGAAAGCAAUGGAAUAUUUUUAUUUUUAUUAUGUCUAUACAGCAUGAACUUUCUAAAAUGUAAAUGUUUGUAGCCUUAAGGUAUGUAAUAUCAAAGAUCAUAAUACUUUAAUUGACAAGAGGAAAGAUGUACAGAAGAAUACAUUUCAUUUACUUUUACUUUAGUAAAAAAGAAAACUAACAAAAAGUAAGGCAAACCUUCCUUAGAAUCACAAAGCUUGUUUAGAGACAGACUUUCUCCUGCCUUUUCAAUUAAUUGUCAGAAACUGUUUUACUUGACUCUAUAAAAUAAGAAUAUACUAGUCUUGGCAGUAUAAGCAUACACUCCCUCUUGUGUAUGAACAGUCUCACAACCCAGGGAGUUUCAAGAAAUCUCCCCUAGUAGAAGUCUUUGAAGAAAGACUUUCUUGCCCUAAAUAUUCAUGCUGGUGAAUGGACAGUAGAAGUUAGUGUAAUUUUGAAGACAGGACAAAUGGGAUGAUUGCCCCCUACUCCCUUUCACUGUUGUCUGGCCUUUCAUACAGGUAAAAAUUAAGUAAACUUCAAUUACAUAAAAGAAUUAGAUAUAAAAUAUGUGGCUAACCACAUAUUUUAUGAGUUAAAGGAUUUUGAAUCUAUUUUGUGAUCUAAUCACACUUUUAAACUUUCAGUUGUUUUACUAGUUUGUAAGCUAUUAGAAAGAUACUCAAUAAAUCUGAAUAUGAUGCUUAGGAAAAGAAAUAUCCAAAGGAAAUACUAGAGCCAUCUGUAUACAUACAAAAAGGGAAUACAAAUAUAUGUUAUCUGAAAAAGGGUUUUCAUAUUCUUCCCAACCAGAGGUUGUUCUGUCUGUCUAUGUCAACACUGCAACAAUCUUGGCUGAAGAAAUUUUUGCUUCAUUUUCGGUGCCACAGUACUGGGAGGGGAAAUGAAUGGUUUUAAGGUUAGACUAAACAAUAAAUAUGUCCCGUGGGAACCCAAGGUCAUUGCUGCCUGACUUUUAGUGAGCUGAGCCUUCCAUUAGAAUGUCAGCCAAAAUAUUCUAUUGGGGAACCUGGAUAAUUACAUAGUGCUGGGGUGGGAAGUUCAAUUUUGUAACAUGGUAACGCUUGGGAGGGAAUUCCAGACUAGUUUUCACUUCUGACUGUGCUGAUACUUUGUAGCCAAUAAAUAUGUUCUUUAAGGAAACCUCUUGCCUUGGAUUUUCUGCUUUUACUGAUCUCAUCUAUCGGAACCAAGUCAGUCAGUCAGUCAGUCAGUCAGUCAGUCUGUCUGUCUGUCUGUCUGUCUGUCUGUCUGUCUGUCUAUCUAUCUAUCUAUCUAUCUAUCUAUCUAUCUAUCUACACAGCUGUCCAUCUCACAUUUGU